AUUGAACGCUGGCGGCAGGCCUAACACAUGCAAGUCGAACGGUAACAGGAAACAGCUUGCUGUUUCGCUGACGAGUGGCGGACGGGUGAGUAAUGUCUGGGAAACUGCCUGAUGGAGGGGGAUAACUACUGGAAACGGUAGCUAAUACCGCAUAACGUCGCAAGACCAAAGAGGGGGACCUUCGGGCCUCUUGCCAUCGGAUGUGCCCAGAUGGGAUUAGCUAGUAGGUGGGGUAACGGCUCACCUAGGCGACGAUCCCUAGCUGGUCUGAGAGGAUGACCAGCCACACUGGAACUGAGACACGGUCCAGACUCCUACGGGAGGCAGCAGUGGGGAAUAUUGCACAAUGGGCGCAAGCCUGAUGCAGCCAUGCCGCGUGUAUGAAGGAGGCCUUCGGGUUGUAAAGUACUUUCAGCGGGGAGGAAGGGAGUAAAGUUAAUACCUUUGCUCAUUGACGUUACCCGCAGAAGAAGCACCGGCUAACUCCGUG
rnacentral:rRNA from 1 species